rnacentral:rRNA from 1 species
GUGGGGAAUAUUGGGCAAUGGGGGAAACCCUGACCCAGCAACGCCGCGUGAGGGAAGAAGGUUUUCGGAUUGUAAACCUCUGUCCUUGGUGACGAAGGAAGUGACGGUAACCAAGGAGGAAGCCCCGGCUAACUACGUGCCAGCAGCCGCGGUAAUACGUAGGGGGCAAGCGUUGUCCGGAAUGAUUGGGCGUAAAGGGCGCGUAGGCGGCCUGGUAAGUCUGGAGUGAAAGUCCUGCUUUUAAGGUGGGAAUUGCUUUGGAUACUGUCGGGCUUGAGUGCAGGAGAGGUAAGUGGAAUUCCCGGUGUAGCGGUGAAAUGCGUAGAGAUCGGGAGGAACACCAGUGGCGAAGGCGACUUACUGGACUGUAACUGACGCUGAGGCGCGAAAGUGUGGGGAGCAAACAGGAUUAGAUACCCUUGUAGUCC